GGGCGUAUUCGGUGCCAGUUUGCACAUCUUGUGCGACAUACACGAACGCGUAGCCGCCUGAAAGUGGGGAGAGGAGAGCCGUGCGGUGAACACGCUCUGCGAUGAACACUGACCCCGCGUCGUGUGUCUAGCCAAAAGGGGAGGGAUCAAGCCUACAUACUACUUACUUACUUCCUUUUCCAAGUUCUAUAUCUACUAAACGUUCUGCCGCUCUAAAUGCUGGUGAGAAAUGCUCUUAUAUAAGAGAGCCGCGCAGACAACUUUGGCUUGUGAUCGCAAGUCUGUGCUUGAGUGAUUCAUAGGUCAGGGAACGUUGAAGGUACGCGAAUGAGUACGGAACGAGUAAAUGUGAAAAAGCUGCGUCGCAACGCCAGCGCUAGGUGCCAGCGCAACGCCUAAAAAAAAGACACGCAUUGCCACCGCAUUUACGACCCGACAAGGCGACUUUUUCGAGGAAAAGCCAAAAUCAGAAAGCGUAAACAAAGAGAACGCCCCUUGCGUUGCAUCGCGCUCAUCUGUUGCCUUCAAGCCACCACUCGGAGCGUUGGCUUCACUUCCUAUUGAUUUUUUGGGGGCUCUCCUUGCUGCAUCUGAUCAGCCAGGGGCCAGGGUGACUGUUCCCACUCCUCUUACCUUCGGCUAUGACGCACUUGGUGCGCAGCUUGUGGCCCCCAAUUUCGACGAGCUGGCCGACGUAUUCGUUGUCCACUCUGCCACUGUUUGUGGCUGCUGCAGCUCCUCCUGCAGCCCCGUUGGCAGCUGUGUUGCCGUCGCUGGUGUUAAAGUAGCUGAAGUUCAGCGACUUGAAGAACUCGCCCAUUGUGCAGGUGGCUAACGAUGGUCGAUGGUGCGGACUGUGUGAAACGUAUUAACGCGAGUGAUUUGUUUUGAAUUUGUUGUGUCCGAUGUCCAUUAACAGAAUUCGGCGUCUUCCCAGUUCUGUCGGUUGUACGUGUUUGUGGUCUUGGACAUAGACAUGACGCCACGAAGUAUUUAAUAAAUUUUUCUUAAAAAGUUUCUUGGGAUCAGUGUGGCCGAGGAUUUAUCGUUAAAA